GGAUUUGUUAAUAUAUAAGAAAGUAUUCCAAUAUGAAAGAUGAGGCUACAGAAUUUCAGAAAGAUCUUGUUCUUAAAGGUUGGAUGACAUAUAAGACAACUGGAAAAGAGGACAUAACAGAAUGAUCAAGACUAAAAACAUCAGCAGCAAGUGGCACCAGACAUGAUUAUGUGGAUCUGAGG